AGUGAACGCUGGCGGCAGGCCUAAUACAUGCAAGUCGAACGGCAGCACAGCAGAGCUUGCUCUGUGGGUGGCGAGUGGCGGACGGGUGAGGAAUACAUGGGAAUCUGCCCAGUCGUGGGGGAUAACGUAUGGAAACGUACGCUAAUACCGCAUGCGCCCUUUGGGGGAAAGCCGGGGACCUUCGGGCCUGGCGCGAUUGGAUGAGCCCAUGUUCGAUUAGCUAGUUGGCGGGGUAAAGGCCCACCAAGGCGACGAUCGAUAGCUGGUCUGAGAGGAUGAUCAGCCACACUGGGACUGAGACGCGGCCCAGACUCCUACGGGAGGCAGCAGUAGGGAAUAUUGGACAAUGGGCGCAAGCCUGAUCCAGCCAUGCCGCGUGAGUGAAGAAGGCCCUCGGGUUGUAAAGCUCUUUUGUCCGGAAAGAAAAGCAUUCGGUUAAUACCCGGGUGUUCUGACGGUACCGGAAGAAUAAGCACCGGCUAACUUCGUG
rnacentral:rRNA from 1 species